GUAGUUGACUCCUGGCUCAGAACGACGCUGGCGGCAGGCUUAACACAUGCAAGUCGAACGCCCCGCAAGGGGAGUGGCAGACGGGUGAGUAACGCGUGGGAACAUACCCUUUCCUGCGGAAUAGCUCCGGGAAACUGGAAUUAAUACCGCAUACGCCCUACGGGGGAAAGAUUUAUCGGGGAAGGAUUGGCCCGCGUUGGAUUAGCUAGUUGGUGGGGUAAAGGCCUACCAAGGCGACGAUCCAUAGCUGGUCUGAGAGGAUGAUCAGCCACAUUGGGACUGAGACACAGCCCAAACUCCUACGGGAGGCAGCAGUGGGGAAUAUUGGACAAUGGGCGCAAGCCUGAUCCAGCCAUGCCGCGUGAGUGAUGAAGGCCUUAGGGUUGUAAAGCUCUUUCACCGAUGAAGAUAAUGACGGUAGUCGGAGAAGAAGCCCCGGCUAACUUCGUG
rnacentral:rRNA from 1 species